rnacentral:rRNA from 1 species
GGGUUGUGAGGUUAAGCGACUAAGCGUACACGGUGGAUGCCCUGGCAGUCAGAGGCGAUGAAGGACGUGCUAAUCUGCGAUAAGCGUCGGUAAGGUGAUAUGAACCGUUAUAACCGGCGAUUUCCGAAUGGGGAAACCCAGUGUGAUUCGUCACACUAUCAUUAACUGAAUCCAUAGGUUAAUGAGGCGAACCGGGGGAACUGAAACAUCUAAGUACCCCGAGGAAAAGAAAUCAACCGAGAUUCCCCCAGUAGCGGCGAGCGAACGGGGAGCAGCCCAGAGCCUGAAUCAGUGUGUGUGUUAGUGGAAGCGUCUGGAAAGGCGCGCGAUACAGGGUGACAGCCCCGUACACAAAAAUGCACAUACUGUGAGCUCGAUGAGUAGGGCGGGACACGUGGUAUCCUGUCUGAAUAUGGGGGGACCAUCCUCCAAGGCUAAAUACUCCUGACUGACCGAUAGUGAACCAGUACCGUGAGGGAAAGGCGAAAAGAACCCCGGCGAGGGGAGUGAAAAAGAACCUGAAACCGUGUACGUACAAGCAGUGGGAGCACGCUUAGGCGUGUGACUGCGUACCUUUUGUAUAAUGGGUCAGCGACUUAUAUUCUGUAGCAAGGUUAACCGAAUAGGGGAGCCGAAGGGAAACCGAGUCUUAACUGGGCGUUAAGUUGCAGGGUAUAGACCCGAAACCCGGUGAUCUAGCCAUGGGCAGGUUGAAGGUUGGGUAACACUAACUGGAGGACCGAACCGACUAAUGUUGAAAAAUUAGCGGAUGACUUGUGGCUGGGGGUGAAAGGCCAAUCAAACCGGGAGAUAGCUGGUUCUCCCCGAAAGCUAUUUAGGUAGCGCCUCGUGAAUUCAUCUCCGGGGGUAGAGCACUGUUUCGGCAAGGGGGUCAUCCCGACUUACCAACCCGAUGCAAACUGCGAAUACCGGAGAAUGUUAUCACGGGAGACACACGGCGGGUGCUAACGUCCGUCGUGAAGAGGGAAACAACCCAGACCGCCAGCUAAGGUCCCAAAGUCAUGGUUAAGUGGGAAACGAUGUGGGAAGGCCCAGACAGCCAGGAUGUUGGCUUAGAAGCAGCCAUCAUUUAAAGAAAGCGUAAUAGCUCACUGGUCGAGUCGGCCUGCGCGGAAGAUGUAACGGGGCUAAACCAUGCACCGAAGCUGCGGCAGCGACGCUUAUGCGUUGUUGGGUAGGGGAGCGUUCUGUAAGCCUGUGAAGGUGUACUGUGAGGUAUGCUGGAGGUAUCAGAAGUGCGAAUGCUGACAUAAGUAACGAUAAAGCGGGUGAAAAGCCCGCUCGCCGGAAGACCAAGGGUUCCUGUCCAACGUUAAUCGGGGCAGGGUGAGUCGACCCCUAAGGCGAGGCCGAAAGGCGUAGUCGAUGGGAAACAGGUUAAUAUUCCUGUACUUGGUGUUACUGCGAAGGGGGGACGGAGAAGGCUAUGUUGGCCGGGCGACGGUUGUCCCGGUUUAAGCGUGUAGGCUGGUUUUCCAGGCAAAUCCGGAAAAUCAAGGCUGAGGCGUGAUGACGAGGCACUACGGUGCUGAAGCAACAAAUGCCCUGCUUCCAGGAAAAGCCUCUAAGCAUCAGGUAACAUCAAAUCGUACCCCAAACCGACACAGGUGGUCAGGUAGAGAAUACCAAGGCGCUUGAGAGAACUCGGGUGAAGGAACUAGGCAAAAUGGUGCCGUAACUUCGGGAGAAGGCACGCUGAUAUGUAGGUGAAGUCCCUCGCGGAUGGAGCUGAAAUCAGUCGAAGAUACCAGCUGGCUGCAACUGUUUAUUAAAAACACAGCACUGUGCAAACACGAAAGUGGACGUAUACGGUGUGACGCCUGCCCGGUGCCGGAAGGUUAAUUGAUGGGGUUAGCGCAAGCGAAGCUCUUGAUCGAAGCCCCGGUAAACGGCGGCCGUAACUAUAACGGUCCUAAGGUAGCGAAAUUCCUUGUCGGGUAAGUUCCGACCUGCACGAAUGGCGUAAUGAUGGCCAGGCUGUCUCCACCCGAGACUCAGUGAAAUUGAACUCGCUGUGAAGAUGCAGUGUACCCGCGGCAAGACGGAAAGACCCCGUGAACCUUUACUAUAGCUUGACACUGAACAUUGAGCCUUGAUGUGUAGGAUAGGUGGGAGGCUUUGAAGUGUGGACGCCAGUCUGCAUGGAGCCGACCUUGAAAUACCACCCUUUAAUGUUUGAUGUUCUAACGUGGACCCGUAAUCCGGGUUGCGGACAGUGUCUGGUGGGUAGUUUGACUGGGGCGGUCUCCUCCUAAAGAGUAACGGAGGAGCACGAAGGUUGGCUAAUCCUGGUCGGACAUCAGGAGGUUAGUGCAAUGGCAUAAGCCAGCUUGACUGCGAGCGUGACGGCGCGAGCAGGUGCGAAAGCAGGUCAUAGUGAUCCGGUGGUUCUGAAUGGAAGGGCCAUCGCUCAACGGAUAAAAGGUACUCCGGGGAUAACAGGCUGAUACCGCCCAAGAGUUCAUAUCGACGGCGGUGUUUGGCACCUCGAUGUCGGCUCAUCACAUCCUGGGGCUGAAGUAGGUCCCAAGGGUAUGGCUGUUCGCCAUUUAAAGUGGUACGCGAGCUGGGUUUAGAACGUCGUGAGACAGUUCGGUCCCUAUCUGCCGUGGGCGCUGGAGAACUGAGGGGGGCUGCUCCUAGUACGAGAGGACCGGAGUGGACGCAUCACUGGUGUUCGGGUUGUCAUGCCAAUGGCACUGCCCGGUAGCUAAAUGCGGAAGAGAUAAGUGCUGAAAGCAUCUAAGCACGAAACUUGCCCCGAGAUGAGUUCUCCCUGACUCCUUGAGAGUCCUGAAGGAACGUUGAAGACGACGACGUUGAUAGGCCGGGUGUGUAAGCGCAGCGAUGCGUUGAGCUAACCGGUACUAAUGAACCGUGAGGCUUAACCUUACAACGCCGAAGCUGUU